GUUGGGGUAGUCUAAUCAGAUGUUUGAUUUCGACUCAAAAGAACUUAACCAAUUAAGCCCCAAUA
rnacentral:tRNA from 1 species